CCUAACACAUGCAAGUCGAACGGUAACAGGAAGAAGCUUGCUUCUUUGCUGACGAGUGGCGGACGGGUGAGUAAUGUCUGGGAAACUGCCUGAUGGAGGGGGAUAACUACUGGAAACGGUAGCUAAUACCGCAUAACGUCGCAAGACCAAAGAGGGGGACCUUCGGGCCUCUUGCCAUCGGAUGUGCCCAGAUGGGAUUAGCUAGUAGGUGGGGUAACGGCUCACCUAGGCGACGAUCCCUAGCUGGUCUGAGAGGAUGACCAGCCACACUGGAACUGAGACACGGUCCAGACUCCUACGGGAGGCAGCAGUGGGGAAUAUUGCACAAUGGGCGCAAGCCUGAUGCAGCCAUGCCGCGUGUAUGAAGAAGGCCUUCGGGUUGUAAAGUACUUUCAGCGGGGAGGAAGGGAGUAAAGUUAAUACCUUUGCUCAUUGACGUUACCCGCAGAAGAAGCACCGGCUAACUCCGUGCCAGCAGCCGCGGUAAUACGGAGGGUGCAAGCGUUAAUCGGAAUUACUGGGCGUAAAGCGCACGCAGGCGGUUUGUUAAGUCAGAUGUGAAAUCCCCGGGCUCAACCUGGGAACUGCAUCUGAUACUGGCAAGCUUGAGUCUCGUAGAGGGG
rnacentral:rRNA from 1 species